GCACAUGAUGAGUUCCUAGCAUAACCAACUACCUACCACAGCCAUACUUGCUAUAACAUCUUUUACUAUAUUUACAUUGAGUUUGAUCGAGUUGUGUAGACCCUUAGGAGCUUUUCAUGUGGUUAAAUUAAGAUAUUCACUUGUACACAUCUACUACACCAUCCAUCACCACUCAUUAAAAUUGCUAAAAAUAUUAUCACUCACUGUCCCAAAUAUUGUUAUUCUCUCUCUCUAAAAAGAUUUAAUGCAGAAGAGGCAUGGGUUAUGCAAAAAUAUGCGAGGAAAUAAAAAGGGGCAAGUGCCCGGAACCUCGGAAAAGAAAGAAAAAGAGUGAAACGAGAGGUAAAAAUGGACAAGUGUCCGGAGUAGAAUUAGGGGUACAAAGAUGCCCACUUGAGCGGAAAAAAUGGACAAGUGUCCGACAGUAGAAUUAGGGGUAUCUACUACCCACCUGGAAAAAAAAAGAGAGAGAUAGCCCAUGUUCUCCCAAAGCAAAGAUCAAAGAAGAGGAGAAAUAGCAAUAUGAGGAGCAAUGAGAACUAAGUUUUAUUAUCACUUAUAUAUCUUCACCAUCACUAUCAUUUACUCCACCACACAUGCACAUCUUGAUUUAAUUAUAUGCUGAGUUCCUUUGGAUCCAUGGCUCGAUUAGACAACAUAUGUAUGAGCUGUUUUUCACUCCUAUGAGCUCCACUUAAAUAUUCCAUUAGCUAUAGGUAAGUGAUAUUUUGGUAAGGAUCCACAAAUACCACAUAUAGAGAGAUUUGAGAGAAUCAUUGCUGGAAACUCUGAGUUUUAUUUUGAAAACUUAUGAAAAACUCUGGAACAAAGGUGAAGUAUAAAUAGGAGGAAUAGUGCUUGACUUAAUUAUUUUGUCUUCAAUUACUUAAAGACUUAAGUGCAGGUACUAAACUCCAUAACGCUUCACUCUAAUCUGGAAGAAUUUUUAUGUAAAAGCAUGUGUGCCUGUCAGGAAAGAAAACAUCGAAGCAACUCCUGAUCCAUCUGAGUUUAGCUGUUUGCUCAGAGACGAGCAAAGGGUAAGCUUGGGGGAGUUUGUUGACGGUCCUUAAGUACUAAAAUUAAUAAUCAAAUAAACAUGGAAAAGGAUCAAUAUGAAACAAACAUCUAGAAUUAGGGUUUUAUCUGACAGAAUUCCACGAGCUUUGGUGUUUAUCUAUUUCUGCAGGGGGUUAUCAGAGAAUAUGGAGAGAAGGCCCACAUGUCAUGUUUACAACGAGAUAAUUACGUGCCGCACAAUUUUCUUCAAUCUAGAAGAGUCCAGAAGUCACGGGAACGAACGAGAAGGGAAUCGGGCUCGGGGGCAGGGCGGCCACCCACCCACCUUGGGAGCCCACCCAGGCCAGGAGCCCAAUCAGGACUCUGCUUCGGGGCUAAACUCCACCGACCUAAAGGAUCAAUCUAAACCAUACAAUCUAUGUCGGUUUGAUCCAAUGGCUCACGUUCACUUGAGGGGACUAUAAAACCAGACCCCCUGGCCCCUGGAGGAGAGGAGAGAAGAGAAGAAAUCAUUAUUCAGAGGUAGCCAUCAAAGUUAGGGUUUAGAGCUUCUCUCCCACAGAGAAUUAGAAUUAGCUACUCCCUAAUCCUUCAAGUUUAGAGGUUUGAUUAGAUAGCAAUUAGAGAAGUAGAGCACUACGCUCUGGAUACGGAUCUUCGGUAAUAAAGAUUGGUAUUAUUCAUAUCUUUCUCUAAUUCUAUUGUUCUAAUUGCAUUAUGUCUCUAAUUAUUAUGUUCUUAGUUUGCUCUAGUUCUAUAUUUGAGAUAGUUAUGAUUGAUAAUGAGUUUAUGUAUAAGUUUGUAAAGCGCUUAGCUCUUGACGCGAGGGAGUUAGGUGAUAGAUCACAUGUGAGCGUGGUGCUUAGAUGUUAUUUAUCUGCAAAUGUAUCCUAUUGGCCGGGUUGUGUGGUAGUUCGUGAUAGUGACAGCUUCGUUGAUUCUUAUAUAGUCCACCCUCCGUUGAUAGGACAGGCAGAACCGGUAUUGUGGAGUAAGUCGUUCGAUGCUGUGAUUUACUUUAUCAAUGUUCCUUAUACAUGAAUGAUGAGUCUUUUAUGCUAUAUAUGAUCUUGUAGAUAACUAGAGUAGAUUAUGACUUAGUAGUUAGUAGAUAACUUAGAAUCCAUUCUCUAGCUAAUCCGACAUCACCUACAUAUAUGAGGAGUAGUCUAUUUUCUAAUCGCUGUGUUAUUUACCCAUGAACUUAUAAUUCAAUAUCAUUAUCUUUAUGGUUUACCCCCUGCUAAAGUAAGUGACUGUGUGACGAGCUUCUUAUUAGUAAUCAUGUUCUUGCAAGUUUAUCUCUAGUCUAUUCCUUGAUAGAUUUUGUCCUUAAUUUAAUUUCAUCCCUUUUGUUCUCAUAAGAAAAAUGAUAAAUAACGAUACCUGGAAUACUUAUCCUGGUGAAAUGCUACAAUAAGGUGUUUUAUCUGUGCGCUUGCGGAUAGAAUAGAUUAUUUUCUAGAGAGCCUUUACAUUUAUAAAUACCUUUGUACACUCUGGUACCAUGCUGGGGAUGACAACCUAGUAUUUAAGUGGUGCUAGCUAGUGUCAACACCCCUGCAGCAAGAGAAGACCCCAGGACACCUGGAAACGACGGACAGGUCGACCCACUUCCACAGGAAGACAAGGCCGCACAGCUUGCGCAGCUACGAGAGCUCAAGACAAAGCUUGACGAGGAUCGUGAACGCCUAGUCCUGCUCGAGUAAAUCCUCGAACAAGACUUGCCUUACCCGCCUGGCGGAAGUGUCCACAGACGAGCUCGAGAGGUACACCGACAAAUCGUCGGGGACGUAGAGCCAGAGCAGCCAGUUAGCCGUUUCCCUCGAGCAGGCCAGAAUGUAGUGGCAGCGACAAUGCUGCUGCGCAACAUGCCAGAACCAUCGAACUCCCAAGCUCGACGCAAUCGAGACGAGGUACAGACUCUGCUCCAAGUGGCGGCAGUUCAACAAGCCGAAAGCUCGGCUUCCCGACAUCGAGGAGCUGCCACUGAAAAGCGCGACGAGCCAGCCCAAAUGAAAAGGAUGUGUCGGUUCAUCAACAGCCACCUCCCCGAGCAAAAAAGACCACGCUCGUCCUCCCCGUCGACAACCAGCGUCGACACGACGCACGACGCGAUAUUGAAGAGAAUCGACGCCGUCGGCAUGGAGACGCGGAAGAGCGCGGCUACAGCGCACAUCGCGGUGGGAGGUACGACAGCGAUGAAGACCGGAUGGCCCCCGAGCCACCAGGACCACGGGUGUUCAGCAGGGCAAUCCGCAGCACGCCCCUGCCCAGUCCGUUCCGACCCCCGACCAGCAUCGCAAAGUACAACGGUGAAACCAAACCAGAGUUGUGGCUGGCCAAUUUUAGGCUGGCCUGUCAGCUAGGAGGCGCUCGAGGAGAUGAUCGAGCCAUCAUCAGACAGCUACCGCUCUUCCUCUUCGACACCGCCCGUCGGUGGCUCGAGGAACUUCCAGCCGAUGAGAUUCACGACUGGGUCGAUUUGGUUAGGGUUUUCGAGGGUAAUUUCAAAGGGACCUACAUAUGUCCUGGGAACUCGUGGGACCUCAGCAAGUGCAAGCAGAAGUCAGGAGAAACUCUUCGAGAGUACGCUCGACGCUUCUGGAAACAGCGCACCGAGCUACCGCAUAUCCCCGACCAUGAUGUCAUCCUAGCCUUUGUCUCUGGUACCACCAGUCGAGACUUAGUACGGGAAUUGGGCCGGAAUCGCCCUCAGACCAUCGAUGAGCUGAUGGACGUAGUGGCAAAUUACGCAGCAGGGGAGGAAGCGGUCGGUGCCUUCUUUAGCUGUGAAGGAAGGAAAGGCAAGCAGCCUACCGAUGAAGAUGGGGUCUCCAGUCGAGGGCCCAAGAAGAACAAGAAGAAGCAGAAAGCGCGGCAGUUCCAGCGGGAAGAUUUCGACGACAAUCUUGUCGCCGCCAUGGAACGCAAGAGGCCUCGAGGCCCUCCAGAUGGAGGCAUCUUCGAUAAGAUGCUAGAGGAGCCAUGUCCUUACCAUAAGGAAGGAGCCAACCACAAGCUCAAGUACUGUCGUAUGCUGAAAAAGCAUUUCGACGGUCUGGGGUUCAAAAAGGACGCACACGACGACCCAAAGAAGGAGAAGGGUGGCGACAAGGAGGGCAACAAAGACAACGACGGCUUCCCUGCCGUCCAUGACUGCUACAUGAUCUAUGGUGGGCCCUCGACGCAGUUGACUACAAGGCAACGUAAGAGGGAACGCCGUGAGGUCUUCGCGGCGAGAAAGGCGGUACCCUAGUACCUCAGCUGGUCGAGCACCCCCAUCACCUUCGAUCGAGAGGACCACCCCGACAAGGUGGUUGCCCCGGGUGUCUACCCGCUCGUCGUCGAUGUUGACGGUUCUUAAGUAUCAAUUUUAAUUAUCAAAUAAACAAGAGAAAGGACCAAUAUGCAACCAACACCUAGAAUUAGGGUUUGAUCUGACAGAAUUCCACAAGUUUUGUUGUUUAUCUAUUUCUGCAGGGGGUUAUCAGGAAAUUAGGAAGAAAGGCCCACAUGUCGGGAUUACAUAGAGAUAUCAAUGCGCCACACGAUUUUCUACCAUCUAGAAGACUCCAGAAGCCACGGGAAGAAAGCAGAGGCCGAAAGGGGCCAGGCCCAGGGCGCUCGCCCUGGUGACCUCGGCGCCCGCCCCCUAUUGGAUGCCAAUCGGGACUCUCUUCGCACGGGAUGUUCCACCGACCUAUUGGAUCAAGGAAAACAUAGUACCACCUCGCCUACCCACCCAAAAACGCAUAGAGGAGGAGGACUAUAUAAGUAGACCCCCUCUGGCCCCUGGAGAAGACAAGAAAUUAUCAUAGAGAUUGAGGGGUGCCCUCGAAGGAAAACCUCUUCUCUAAUUAAUAUUUAUUUUUAGGCUUAGCCACCAAUGUAAAGUAGAAAUAGAUCUUAUAGUUUCUACUAGAUUGAGAGAGAUAGAGUGGAGGUGUAGAUUGGAGGAAGCCCGCCUUGUCGGUGUCUACUCCAAGCUUGUACCUGCGGGAUCAAGUUCUCCUAACCCGAAGCUUGCUCCUAGGAUUCUUCAGUAUUUCGACUUCUAAAUUCUAGUAAGUUCUUGUUUUAUUGUUCUUCUAGUUUAUGAGUUUACUUUAAUCUCUUCACGUAGAGAUUAGAGUAAUCAUUGCUGGCGUAAACGUGGUGUUUAGGCUGGGGUACUCAUAGAUAUUCCCUGACUAGCUGGACCGUGGUAGUAGUGAGGAACGUGACAAUUCCGAGUUACCUUUGCAGACCAUAUCUCGUUAGCAGGAAGGAUAGAGUUUAUAGGUGCAGGUUGAACAUCCUUUGUGGUGUCUAGAUUUCGUUAGCCUCCCCAAUAGAACAGUAGAUCAUCCUUACCAAGGUUAGAAGGAGACUACGGUUGCAGUCUUCUCUAUUUAUCACUCACAUCGAAAGACAUUCUUUGUGCCUAAAGGGUUAGUAGUAAUAGACCGGUUAGUCAGAUGCACUCUUUCUCCUAGUGGUAAAAAAAUAAAUACGAUACUCUGUAUAACCUCCCAAGUGAAGUGCUCACCAAUAUCCGUGCGCUUGCGGAUCAAUUUCUUAUUGCGUUCCCAAAUAUCAACAGUCGACCCCAUCAUCGUCAACACCCGGCUCUCAAAGGUGCUGAUGGAUGGCGGCAACAGCCUCAACAUCAUCUAUCUCGAGACCCUUGACCUCCUAGGCAUCGACAGGGGGCGCUCCAACCAAGCGCCGGCGGCUUCCAUGGCGUCGUGCCAGGAAAGAAGGCUCUACCGGUGGGUCGAAUCGACCUCCCGGUUUGCUUUGGCACGGCGGCCAACAUCAGAAAUGAGACCCUCACCUUUGAGGUGGUGGGAUUCCGAGGCACGUACCACGCCAUCAUCGGGCGCCCAGGCUACGCCAAAUUCAUGGCUAUACCCAACUACACCUACUUGAAGCUGAAGAUGCCCGAUCCCAAAGGCGUCAUCACCGUCAGCUCCUCCUUCGAGCACGCUUACGAGUGCGACGUCGAGUGCGUCGAGUAUGGGGAGGCGGUCGAGAAUUCCACCGAGCUCGUCUCGAAGCUCGAGGCCCUGGCCGCUGAGGCUCCAGACCCCAAGCGCCACGCGGGCAGCUUCGAGCCAGCGGAAGGAACCAAGAAGAUCCCGCUCGACCCUAACAACUCCGACGGCAAGGUGCUGACGAUCAGCGCCGACCUCGACCCCAAAUAGGAAGCUGUGCUCGUCGACUUUCUCUGUGCGAACGCCGAUAUGUUUGCAUGGAGUCCCUCGGACAUGCCAGGCAUACCGAGGGAAGUCGCCGAGCACUCCUUGGAAAUUCGAGCCGGUUCCAAGCCAGUGAAGCAACGGUUGCGCCAAUUCGACGAGGAGAAGCGCAAGAUCAUUGGCAAGGAGGUCCACAAGCUUUUGACGGCUGGAUUCAUCAAGGAGGUUCACCAUCCCGACUGGUUAGCAAACCCUGUACUAGUUAAGAAAAAGAAUGGGAAAAUGAGGAUGUGUGUCGAUUAUACGAGUUUAAAUAAAGCAUGUCCAAAAGUUCCCUUUCCAUUACCACGUAUUGAUCAAAUUAUUGAUUCUACUGCGGGAUGUGAAACCCUUUCUUUCCUUGAUGCAUAUUCUGAUUAUCAUCAAAUAAAAAUGAAAGAGUCCGACCAGCUGGCGACCUCUUUCAUCACACCUUUUGGGAUGUAUUGCUAUGUAACCAUGCCGUUCGGGCUCCGAAACGCGAGAGCCUCGUACCAGCGCUGCAUGCUCCAUGUGUUUGGCAAGCACAUAGGGUCGACAGUCGAGGCCUAUGUCGAUGACAUCGUCGUCAAGUCAAAGCAAUGGGGAGACCUGAUCCAAGACCUCGAGAUCGCUUUCAGCUGCUUACGCGCCAACCAGAUCAAACUCAACCCUGAGAAAUGUGUUUUCGGCGUGCCUCGAGGCAUGCUCCUGGGAUACAUCGUUUCCCAGCGCGGGAUCGAGGCCAACCCCGAGAAAGUCACGGCCAUCACAAGAAUGGGGCCGAUUCGAGACAUCAAGGGCGUGCAGAGAGUGACGGGAUGUUUAGCGGCGCUGAGCCGUUUCAUCUCGAGGUUAGGAGAAAAGGCGUUGCUGCUGUAUCGACUUCUGAAGAAGGUCGAGCGUUUCUCUUGGACCCCCGAGGCCGAGGAAGCCCUCGAAAACCUGAAGAAAACACUGACCUCAGCACCAGUCCUGGUCCCACCUCAACUCGCGGAGCCACUGCUCCUUUACGUUGCCUCGACGACCCAGGUCGUCAGCGCAGCUGUGGUGGUCGAAAGGCAGGAGGAGGGGCAUGCGAUGCCAGUCCAGAGGCCGGUCUAUUUCGUCAGCGAGGUGCUCUCGGAGACCAAGGCACGUUACCCCCAAAUCCAGAAGCUGAUCUACGCCGUAAUCCUCGCCCAACGCAAGCUGCAGCACUACUUCCUCGGCCACCUAAUCACGGUGGUCUCGUCCUUCCCCCUGGGCGAAAUAAUCCAAAGUAGGGAGGCCACGGGAAGAAUAGCCAAAUGGUCGGUCGAGCUCAUGAGUGAGACCCUCACUUAUGCGCCUCGCAAGGCUAUCAAGUCACAAGCCCUGGUGGAUUUCGUCGUGGAGUGGACAGACUCCUAGCUUCCCCCGACUCAGGUUCACUCAGAACUAUGGACGAUGUAUUUCGACGGGUCUCUCAUGAAGACGGGAGCUAGGGCCGGCCUGCUGUUCAUCUCGCCCCUGGGCGUCCAUAUGAGAUAUGUCAUCAGGAUUCACUUUGCCGCAUCCAACAAUGUUGCAGAGUACGAAGCUCUUGUUAACGGUCUGAAGAUCGCCAUCGAGCUCGGAGUUCGACGCCUAGACGUUCGAGGCGACUCCCAGCUCGUCAUCGACCAAGUAAUGAAAGCCUCGAAUUGCCACGACCCGAAAAUGGAGGCGUACUGCAAGGAGGUCCGUUGACUCGAGGACAAGUUCCACGGCCUCGAGCUCGUCCACGUCGCCCGACGCUACAACGAGGCAGCUGACGAACUCGCCAAGAUCGCGUCAACCCGAGGCACGGUACCGCUUGACGCAUUCUCAAGGGAUUUUCAUGUGGUUAAAUUAAGAUAUUCACUUGUACACAUCUACUACACCAUCCAUCACCACUCAUUAAAAUUGCUAAAAAUAUUAUCACUCACUGUCCCAAAUAUUGUUAUUCUCUCUCUAAAAAGAUUUAAUGCAGAAGAGGCAUGGGUUAUGCAAAAAUAUGCGAGGAAAUAAAAAGGGGCAAGUGCCCGGAACCUCGGAAAAGAAAGAAAAAGAGUGAAACGAGAGGUAAAAAUGGACAAGUGUCCGGAGUAGAAUUAGGGGUACAAAGAUGCCCACU
rnacentral:lncRNA from 1 species